rnacentral:sRNA from 1 species
GACAGGGUUAACGCGGUUUUAAUGAUUUCGGUGUCUCAUGAGGACGUCCAGUUCUCUCCCGCUGGACGUUCCGAGUGGUUCUUCCUCCCACUCUGUUUGACGCCUCCCUGUUGAACUUCCCAAGAGCCGCUUCAGCGGCUCGAUUUUU